AGACAAGGGCCUGCUGUGUCUCUCAGGCUGGAGGGCAGUGAUGUCAUUACAGUUCACUGCAGCCUUGAACUCCCAGGCACAAGUGAUCCUCUCAUCUCAGCCUCUCGAGUAGCUGGGAAUUACAGGCCUCCCAAAGUGCAAGAAUUACAAGUAUGAGCCACUAUGCCUGGCCCCCACCCUGCCUAUUGAGAACCAAAAGAAGGAACCAAAUUCUCCGUAGCUCAACUCGAGCCAUUUCCUGAUUUCUUCAUCAGGAAUGAGGUGGUUAUUGGGCUGUCCAGGCCUCUCAAGCAGCACAGAAAUGAGAAACAGGAUCUUGCUCUCUCACCCUGGGUGGAGUUCAGUGGUGCAGUCACAGCUCAUUGUAGCCUCAACCCCCCAGGCUAGCAAUCCUACCACGGCCUUUCGAGUAGCUGUGACUACAG